rnacentral:rRNA from 1 species
UACGUAGGGUGCGAGCGUUAAUCGGAAUACUGGGCGUAAAGCGUGCGCAGGCGGUGAUGUAAGACAGGUGUGAAAUCCCGGGGCUCAACCUCGGAACUGCAUUUGUGACUGCAUCGCUGGAGUGCGGCAGAGGGGGAUGGAAUUCCGCGUGUAGCAGUGAAAUGCGUAGAUAUGCGGAGGAACACCGAUGGCGAAGGCAAUCCCCUGGGCCUGCACUGACGCUCAUGCACGAAAGCGUGGGGAGCAAACAGG